rnacentral:rRNA from 1 species
GAUGAACGCUAGCGGCAGGCCUAACACAUUGCAAGUCGAGGGGUAACAGGAGAAAGCUUGCUUUCUUCGCUGACGACCGGCGCACGGGUGCGUAACGCGUAUAGAACCUACCUUUUACAGAGGGAUAGCCCGAAGAAAUUUGGCAUAAUACCUCAUAGUAUUAUCGAUUGGCAUCGAUUGAUAAUUAAAGAUUUAUCGGUAAAAGAUGGCUAUGCGUCCUAUUAGCUAGUUGGUACGGUAACGGCGUACCAAGGCAACGAUAGGUAGGGGUUCUGAGAGGGAUAUCCCCCACACUGGUACUGAGACACGGACCAGACUCCUACGGGAGGCAGCAGUGAGGAAUAUUGGACAAUGGUGGCAACACUGAUCUAGCCAUGCCGCGUGCAGGAAGACGGCCUUAUGGGUUGUAAACUGCUUUUAUAUGGGAAGAACCGCAGGUACGCGUACCUGUCUGACGGUACCAUAUGAAUAAGCACCGGCUAACUCCGUGCCAGCAGCCGCGGUAAUACGGAGGGUGCAAGCGUUAUCCGGAAUCAUUGGGUUUAAAGGGUCCGUAGGCGGGUUAAUAAGUCAGGGGUGAAAUCUCACAGCUCAACUGUGAAACUGCCUUUGAUACUGUUAGCCUUGAAUGAUAUGGAAGUAGAUAGAAUGUGUAGUGUAGCGGUGAAAUGCAUAGAUAUUACACAGAAAUACCGAUUGCGAAGGCAGUCUACUACGUAUUUAUUGACGCUAAUGGACGAAAGCGUGGGGAGCGGACAGGAUUAGAUACCCUGGUAGUCCACGCCGUAAACGAUGGACACUAGUUUGUUGGGUUUCGGCUCAGUGACUAAGCGAAAGUGAUAAGUGUCCCACCUGGGGGAGUACGUUGGCAACAAUGAAACUCAAAGGAAUUGACGGGGGCCCGCCACAAGCGGUGGGAGCAUGUGGUUUAAUUCGAUGAUACGCGAGGAACCUUACCAAGGCUUAAAUGUAGAUUGCAUUAGACAGAGAUGUUUAUUUCUUCGGACUAUUUACAGGGUGCUGCAUGGUUGUCGUCAGCUCGUGCCGUGAGGUGUCAGGUUAAGUCCUAUAACGAGCGCAACCCCUAUCGUUAGUUGCUAGCAGGUCAAGCUGAGGACUCUAACGAGACUGCCGGUGCAAACCGUGAGGAAGGUGGGGAUGACGUCAAAUCAUCACGGCCCUUACGUCUUGGGCUACACACGUGCUACAAUGGUAGGUACAGAGGGCAGCUACCCCGCGAGGGGAUGCGAAUCUUCAAAGCCUAUCACAGUUCGGAUCGGAGUCUGCAACUCGACUCCGUGAAGCUGGAAUCGCCAGUAAUCGCAUAUCAGCCAUGAUGCGGUGAAAUACGUUCCCGGGCCU